GCUGGGAUAGCUCAGUUGGUAGAUCACCAGACUCUUAAUCUCAGGGUUGUGGGUUCGAACCCCAUGUCAGGCA